CAAUGAUCCAUUAAUUUCAGCCCCAGGAUUACGAAACUAGUCGUUAGGGGAAAACAAGUAUCCGACAACAGGUCCUAAGCUUGUUGGGCUUGCUGUUCCAGCAUGCGUGCAGAGUGUGGCGCGUGUGGUUGGGGUUGAGACUAGGCUCUUUCUAGCGUGCCCACACACAAAAGUUGGCCAUAAAAUAGGUUUGGCUAGUUUUUAGGGUUAAUUUGUCUAAAUUUUAAGUCUUAACCCAAAACUUAUAUUUUUAUAAGAUUUGGGUUAAAACCUAAAAUUUGGGUAAAUUUGGGUUGAAACCUAAAACCUAAAAUUUAGGUUGUAACCCCAAAACUUAUUUUAGGGCACAUAGUUGGAGAUGGUUUGGGUUAGUUUAAAACCUAAAUUUAGGUUUUAACAUAAAGGUUAAGAUGGUCAUAGGUGUAAAGAUAGAUAAUGUGAGUUCUAAUUUUCCUUUAUAUAUUUAUGUGACUAACUCUUGGGAUAAGUUAGGUCUAAUUUUUGGUUGAAUUGAAUUGGAAUCAAGGAUUCCAGUUUUAAUCCAAAAUAUCUUUGGAAUGAUAAUUUUUUUUUCAAUUCCAUCCAAAGAAUUUUAAUUGCAACAUACAUUCCAAUUUUGGAAAAAAUCAUAAUUUUUGGAAAAUUUUUGAAUGUUAUAUUUUAAAAAAAUUAAAUAAUAACUUGAAAUCUUUUGUUAAAAAAAAAAAAAAACACUUGAAUUCUUGAAUAUGUCCAACAAUUUGAAAGGUCAAAAUGAAAAGUUCAUAUUGAAAAUACGAAGAAAGCUACUUUAUAAGAGAAGGAUAAGUAGAGUAUCGCUUUGAAAUAAUACUUCAACAUAGAGCCAGUUAUUUUGGGUGGUUUAAGCUUGAAGACACAAUGUUUGUCUAUUAGAAUUUCAUAGCUUUCCGUAUCUUAAGAUAAAUUUCAAUUAUUUUAUAAAAACAUUUGGAAUUUCAAAUUUUAGAAUUUCGAAUGUCGAAUUUGAUUUGAGUUCUCCAAAAUUUAAAACUAUUGCGUCGAAAUACGUCAAAAUCAGUUCAUAUUUAACCAUUACCAAAAUGAGUCAACUGACUACACUAUUUACGUGGAAAAUGAUAUUCUUGUGCAAGGAAAUGGGUGAUGUUCACUUGAAAGGUAAUUGGACACGUGAAUUAUAAGAAGAAGAAUGCUAUUGUCACUUGUGUUUGUGUGUGAUAGCGUAGAGUUUGUAGCAUCCCUCUUCAAACAUUGGGCUUUACUUGGGCUUAGUCUAUUCAUUUGGGCCUCUCCAUAUAACCCAACCAAAAGUAACUGACUGUUCGAGUCUUCAACGGUCCCUUCUCUCUCACUUCAUCAGUCUCUCCAAAGCCGGGUGUUUUCAGGAAAGAAACUACACCACUCAAGAUCCUUACCAUAGUACUGCAAGAAUGGAUGGAGAGAGAGAGUAUAAGGUUGUUGAAAUACUUCUUCCAUGAUGGUAUAUGAGAUCCGUGGAAACUACACCACUCAAGAUCCUUACCUUAGUACUGCAAGAAUGGAGAGAGAGAGAGAGAGAGAGAGAGAGAGAGAGAGAGAGAGAGUAUAAAGUUGUUGAAAUACUUCUUCCAUGAUGGUAUAUGAGAUCCGUGGAAUAAAAAAACCAGUGAGACCCGCAUAAAAUGAGGAAUUCACUUCCUGAAAUGGACGCAGUCGGAUUCUUGGGUGAGACGAGGUAUUUGGAUUCUUGGAAAUGGCAUUCAUUAGGAAUCCAAGUUUUGUACCGAUAAUACCAUGAAACUCCAAGGAAUAUUGUGACAGUGUGGGGAACGAAUUAACGGAUGGUGUUGUUUGCAGCCCUUGCGGGUUGUGCCGGUGUACUUCUCAGAGUAAGAGGAGGAGCAGAACGGAGUCAAGGUCUCUUUGUCUGGCGCAUGGCGAUUGUGGAAUUAUGGUAGGGGUGGAAGAGUGCGAGGUGGUGGUUGGCUAUGAUGAGAG
rnacentral:lncRNA from 1 species